rnacentral:lncRNA from 1 species
AUAUAAGACGAGCAUCUAUCAGAAGCUCACAUUUUACCCUGUUCUUAUCCCAAACUGAUUUAAAGACCCGAUAGUUUUUAAAAAAGCCGCCUUCCGUGCCUACUUCCGCAGGGCAUACACCUACUGCACAGAUCCCAGGGAUUACGACAAAGAAGUGGAAUAUAUCCUGGAACAAGAAAGAAAACAUGGAUAUGAAAGAGAGUUCAUGUUCUCAAUUAAGAAAAAUGUAGAAACUACUAUUAAUAAGGCAGGAGUGCACCAUGGUACAGAUAAUGCAGAUAUGCAACAAUCGCACAAAAAUUCAGAGGAUAAUUACGUGGCUGUACCAUAUUACCUAGCAAAAUGCCUAGCAAAUAAGAAGCUUAUCAUAAAAAGAGAUCCUUCAGUUUUUACAUACCUAAGAAACAGUAAAGAUAAAUUGGAAGAUAAGUGUAAACCAGGAGUUUAUAGCAUCCCAAUUAAUGAUAAAAACAGUUAGCAAGAAAAAAAAUACAUAGGAGUCACAGGGUACACAUUAGAAGAAAGAAUAAAUGAACACAGAAGAGACCAAGCUAAGAUAAUAAAACAGACAACCUAGAGCAAGGCCUGAUCCGAGAAUC